rnacentral:rRNA from 1 species
AAUGAACGUUGGCGGCGUGGAUUAGGCAUGCAAGUCGAGCGCUCACCCGCAAGGGUGGGAGCGGCGAAAGGGAGAGUAACGCGUGGGUAUCUGUCCUCGGGACUGGUAUAGCUGCGGGAAACUGCAGGUAAUACCAGAUGACGUCCCCGGACCAAAGGUGUGAUUCCGCCUGAGGAUGAGCCCGCGCCCUAUUAGCUUGUUGGUGGGGUAAUGGCCUACCAAGGCAAUGAUGGGUACUGGGUGUGAGAGCACGACCCAGCUCACUGGGACUGAGACACUGCCCAGACACCUACGGGUGGCUGCAGUCGAGAAUCUUCGGCAAUGGGCGAAAGCCUGACCGAGCGACGCCGCGUGUGGGAUGAAGGCCUUCGGGUUGUAAACCGCUGUCAGAGGGGAGGAAUGGGCGGAGGGUAAUCUCUUCGUUUUGACCUAUCCUCAGAGGAAGUACGGGCUAAGUUCGUGCCAGCAGCCGCAGUAACAC